AUUGAACGCUGGCGGCGUGCCUAAUACAUGCAAGUCGAGCGAAUCAAUGGGAGCUUGCUCCCUGAGAUUAGCGGCGGACGGGUGAGUAACACGUGGGUAACCUGCCUGUAAGACUGGGAUAACUUCGGGAAACCGGAGCUAAUACCGGAUACGUUCUUUUCUCGCAUGAGAAGAGAUGGAAAGAUGGUUCUGCUAUCACUUACAGAUGGACCCGCGGCGCAUUAGCUAGUUGGUGAGGUAACGGCUCACCAAGGCGACGAUGCGUAGCCGACCUGAGAGGGUGAUCGGCCACACUGGGACUGAGACACGGCCCAGACUCCUACGGGAGGCAGCAGUAGGGAAUCUUCCGCAAUGGACGAAAGUCUGACGGAGCAACGCCGCGUGAGCGAAGAAGGCCUUCGGGUCGUAAAGCUCUGUUGUUAGGGAAGAACAAGUACGAGAGUAACUGCUCGUACCUUGACGGUACCUAACCAGAAAGCCACGGCUAACUACGUGCCAGCCGCCGCCGUAA
rnacentral:rRNA from 1 species